rnacentral:lncRNA from 1 species
GUCAAAAAGUGGAACACUGAGAUAAUUGACAAAUAAGACAUGGUACUUAAGGAGAAUCAGAGAAGACUAUCAGGAUGAAUUCUGAGCAUCUUCAGCUGGAUUUUCAUGGAUGCAAGGAGCUAAUACUUAUUGACGGCCUACUGUUUGCUGGCUCGGGCUACAUCCUUUAUCUAUUUUGUUUCAUUAAAUCCUCAAAGUAUCUUGUGAGCAUAAUUCUUGCUUCAAAGGAAGUGUCUGGAUGUCAUUCCCUCCUCUUCAGUUUUUUGGAGAAGUUUGAAAAGGAAAGCUUCACAUGUGAGAUAAAUGCACUCAAAGACUCCUCACAAGUAGCUCUUUGGAGCUUCAGAUGUGAAAUGGAUCAUUCCUCAAUCUGUAAUAGACCCUUCUGUGAAGCUCUUCAAUCAAACCUGAGAAUUCAAGGCAUUUUGUAG